AGUGAACGCUGGCGGUAGGCCUAACACAUGCAAGUCGAACGGAAGCACAGUAAGAGCUUGCUCUUACGGGUGGCGAGUGGCGGACGGGUGAGGAAUACAUCGGAAUCUACUUUUUCGUGGGGGAUAACGUAGGGAAACUUACGCUAAUACCGCAUACGACCUACGGGUGAAAGCAGGGGAUCUUCGGACCUUGCGCGAUUGAAUGAGCCGAUGUCGGAUUAGCUAGUUGGCGGGGUAAAGGCCCACCAAGGCGACGAUCCGUAGCUGGUCUGAGAGGAUGAUCAGCCACACUGGAACGUAGACACGGUCCAGACUCCUACGGUAGGCAGCAGUGGGGAAUAUUGGACAAUGGGCGCAAGCCUGAUCCAGCCGUACCGCGUGGGUGAAGGAGGCCUUCGGGUUGUAAAGCCCUUUUGUUGGGAGAGAAAAGCAGCAGGUUAAUACCCCGCUGUUCUGACGGUACCCAAAGAAUAAGCACCGGCUAACUUCGUG
rnacentral:rRNA from 1 species